CUUGUGCAACAUGGACAUCCACGAUCAGCACUCAGCGACGUAUAAUAGCUAAGAUUUUUACAUGCAUUUGAUAAGGACCUAAUUAAAAGCCAAAAAAUUCAUUU